rnacentral:rRNA from 1 species
CACGUAGGGUCCGAUCGUUUUCCGGAAUUACUGGGCGUAAAGCGUGCGCAGGCGGUUUGGUCAGUCGCUGGUGAAAGCCCCACGCUCAACGUGGGAAUGGCCAACGAGACGGCCCGACUGGAGGCAGGGAGAGGCCGGUGGAAUUCCGGGUGUAGUGGUGAAAUGCGUAGAUAUCGGGAGGAACACCAGUGGCGAAGGCGGCAUCCUGGCCCUGUACUGACGCUCAGGGGCGAAAGCGUGGGGAGCAAACAGG